rnacentral:rRNA from 1 species
GACGAACGCUGGCGGCGUGCUUAACACAUGCAAGUCGAACGGAAAGGCCCUGCUUUUGUGGUGUGCUCGAGUGGCGAACGGGUGAGUAACACGUGAGUAACCUGCCCUUGACUUUGGGAUAACUUCAGGAAACUGGGGCUAAUACCUGAUAGGAGCUCCUGCUGCAUGGUGGGGGUUGGAACGUUUCGGCGGUUGGGGAUGGACUCGCGGCUUAUCAGCUUGUUGGUGGGGUAGUGGCUUACCAAGGCUUUGACGGGUAGCCGGCCUGAGAGGGUGACCGGCCACAUUGGGACUGAGAGACGGCCCAGACUCCUACGGGAGGCAGCAGGGGGGAAUAUUGCACAAUGGGCGGAAGCCUGAUGCAGCAACGCCGCGUGCGGGAUGAAGGCCUUCGGGUUGUAAACCGCUUUCGCCUGUGACGAAGCGUGAGUGACGGUAAUGGGUAAAGAAGCACCGGCUAACUACGUG